AGCAGUAGCCGCGGGAAUACGUAGGGUGCAAGCGUUAAUCGGAAUUACUGGGCGUAAAGCGUGCGCAGGCGGUUCAUUAAGACAGAUGUGAAAUCCCCGGGCUUAACCUGGGAACUGCAUUUGUGACUGGCGGGCUAGAGUAUGGCAGAGGGGGGUAGAAUUCCACGUGUAGCAGUGAAAUGCGUAGAGAUGUGGAGGAACGCCGAUGGCGAAGGCAGCCCCCUGGGCCAAUACUGACGCUCAUGCACGAAAGCGUGGGGAGCAAACAGGAUUAGAUACCCCGGUAGUCCCUGUCUCUUAUAC
rnacentral:rRNA from 1 species